AUUGAUCAUCUCGACAUCGAGAUGUAUGAAUAUUAAAAAAAAAUAUUUUUGAAUCCUAAAAAUAGUGCAUCUUACAACACAUUAUUUAGACUGUCCAUUUUCAAAAUUUUCAUAUGUUUAUAGAUCUUCUUGAUUUUAACCAUUUUUGGAGUUUAAAAUUUUCUAAUUAGAUAUGAAAAUAGUUUUUAAGAUAAUCAUGAAAAAAAUUUAUAACAAAAUUACAUGUU
rnacentral:lncRNA from 1 species